rnacentral:rRNA from 1 species
UACAGAGGUUCCAAGCGUUGUUCGGAUUUACUGGGCGUAAAGGGUGCGUAGGAGGUUAGGUAAGUAAAAUGUGAAAGCUUCCCGCUUAACGGGAAAAUUGCAUUUUAUACUACUUGACUAGAGGAUCGGAGAGGAAAACGGAAUUCUUGGUGUAGCGGUGAAAUGCGUAGAUAUCAAGAGGAACGCCAACGGCGAAAGCAGUUUUCUGGAAGACUCCUGACUCUGAGGCACGAAGGCUAGGGGAGCAAACAGG